GGCUGUGUAUUUAUUUGUGUUUUUAACUCGAUGGGAGCUAAAUUAAACUGUCUGAACACGAAGAUGUGCGUGUUGUCUGUCUCCCCUCU